CUACGGAGGGUGCAAGCGUUACUCGGAAUCACUGGGCGUAAAGCGCGCGCAGGCGGCUAUUUAAGUUGGAUGUGAAAGCCUACGGCUCAACCGUAGAACUGCAUCCAAAACUAUUUAGCUAGAGUGUGGGAGAGGAAGAUGGAAUUAGUUGUGUAGGGGUAAAAUCCGUAGAGAUAACUAGGAAUACCAAAAGCGAAGGCAAUCUUCUGGAACACUACUGACGCUGAGGCGCGAAAGCGUUGGGAGCAAACAGGAUUAGAUACCCUAGUAGUCC
rnacentral:rRNA from 1 species